GGCUGCCUGGCAAGAGUGCAGAAGCUCUGUACCCCAGAGAAUAUCAACUGCAGAGACACCCAGGGCAGAAAUUCAACCCCUCUGCACCUGGCAGCAGGCUAUAAUAACCUGGAAGUAGCUGAAUAUCUUCUAGAGCAUGGAGCUGAUGUUAAUGCCCAGGACAAGGGUGGUUUAAUUCCUCUUCAUAAUGCGGCAUCUUAUGGGUAGUAAAAGUUGGAUUCCAAGACCUCCUUUCCAGCUUGUUGUAAUGAUUAAAUGAGACCAUGCAUGUGGAAAUUGCAUUAACUAAUGUAAGGCAUUAUAAAAAUGCAAGCAUGUUGACAUAGCGGCUUUAUUGAUAAAAUACAACACGUGUGUAAAUGCAACAGAUAAGUGGGCGUUUACUCCCCUCCAUGAAGCAGCCCAGAAAGGAAGGACGCAGCUGUGCGCCCUCCUCCUAGCGCAUGGUGCAGACCCCACCAUGAAGAACCAGGAAGGCCAGACGCCUCUGGAUCUGGCAACAG
rnacentral:lncRNA from 1 species